GGGUUGUGAGGUUAAGCGACUAAGCGUACACGGUGGAUGCCCUGGCAGUCAGAGGCGAUGAAGGACGUGCUAAUCUGCGAUAAGCGUCGGUAAGGUGAUAUGAACCGUUAUAACCGGCGAUUUCCGAAUGGGGAAACCCAGUGUGAUUCGUCACACUAUCAUUAACUGAAUCCAUAGGUUAAUGAGGCGAACCGGGGGAACUGAAACAUCUAAGUACCCCGAGGAAAAGAAAUCAACCGAGAUUCCCCCAGUAGCGGCGAGCGAACGGGGAGGAGCCCAGAGCCUGAAUCAGUGUGUGUGUUAGUGGAAGCGUCUGGAAAGGCGCGCGAUACAGGGUGACAGCCCCGUACACAAAAAUGCACAUGCUGUGAGCUCGAUGAGUAGGGCGGGACAC
rnacentral:rRNA from 1 species